GAAUAUUGGACAAUGGGCGAAAGCCUGAUCCAGCAAUGCCGCGUGAGUGAUGAAGGCCUUAGGGUUGUAAAGCUCUUUUACCCGGGAUGAUAAUGACAGUACCGGGAGAAUAAGCUCCGGCUAACUCCGUGCCAGCAGCCGCGGUAAUACGGAGGGAGCUAGCGUUGUUCGGAAUUACUGGGCGUAAAGCGCACGUAGGCGGCAUAGCAAGUCAGGGGUGAAAUCCCGGGGCUCAACCCUGGAACUGCCCUUGAAACUGCUAAGCUUGAAUCCUGGAGAGGCGAGUGGAAUUCCGAGUGUAGAGGUGAAAUUCGUAGAUAUUCGGAAGAACACCAGUGGCGAAGGCGACUCGCUGGACAGGUAUUGACGCUGAGGUGCGAAAGCGUGGGGAGCAAACAGGA
rnacentral:rRNA from 1 species